rnacentral:lncRNA from 1 species
AAUAACUCCGCAACUAUGUUGUAAUACCCCACACCCCAUUUCUUUGACUUUUUCCCAGCCCUUUAUAAAAAGAUAAAAAAAAAGCUGACGGGGACAGAGAGGACAAAGAGAACCGGGUCGAACCCGACCUCCGAACGUGACCCGACCGGUUAUCCCAUUUCCGGCCACCACUCCAGCCAAGCUUAGUACCGAUCGGAAGCUCUUGAGCCACUGGUUAUCUGCAUGUCGUCCUUGCCGCCGGAAAACGUUCGGAAAGCCACCGAUCGAAGCCUUAAAGUUUCGCGGAAUCGCCGCCUCGAUUGGCUGCGAUUUUGGCGGUUUUCGGUGACGCCGCCGCUUUGGUUUUGUUCCCCACCAUCUCCUCUACUAUUUCCGACCAUCCACUGCCGUCGAAGAUGUUGUUUUGCGCCGAUCGGCCACUUGAGUAUUCGCGGUUUCCGAGCUGGAUUUCGGUGCCGUUGCCGCGCGUGGAAGGUCACCACCGCCACCAUUGGACUCAGCGUGGCUUGCACUUUCCGUUCUGAGCUUCCCGUCGCCGUCGGUUGAAUUCCGGUGACCGUUGACCGGCAAGCGUAUUUCGGUAAAUUUACAGUGUAAGGACAAUUUUGUAAUUUCAUAUUUUGUGGGUAUUUUAGUAAUUGUCAAAAUUGUGGAUAAAGUUGGUAAUAGGGAUGGCAAUAGCGGGUUUGCCAUUACCAAACCCAAAUCCGCACAAAAUUGAAAUUAUCAAACCCACCCGCAACCCGCAGCGGGUUUUAAUUUUUUUAAAAAAAUCCACCCGCAGCAGGUUUUAACAAUUACCAAACCUGCAAUGAUAUCCGGUGGAUUUUUUGUGGAUUUUCGUAUUUAAAAUCACAAAUGUUUAAUAUAUAAAUUUAUAAUAAUAACCUCAAAUUUCAUAUAACAUACUCAAUUUUAUAUUUAAAUAAUGUAAAUGAAAAAUUAAAAUUUCCACAUCAAUUCAACAUAAAUUCUCAAAUUUAAGUAUAAAUUACACAAAUCUAUUUUAAAAACACAAACUAGUAUCUAAAAAUAAUAAUUACAUUUCAUAUUAUCAUUUAAAACAAGCUCUAAGAGAAUAUAUUCAUUUCAUUCACCACCAUAAGCACCCAUCCAACACAAUGCCUAUAAUAAUAAUUAAAAUUAAUAUUUUCAAAUACUAAUUCGAAGGGAAAUGCCUUUAGUUUUCUUUAGGUUAUGACUUUAGAAUAGGAGAUUGACCACAUAAACACAUACACAACUUUGAACCUUUGGCUAUUUGGUAAUUUGAUUAAUGACAUUAUUUUUUUUAUACAUUUAUAGAUUAAAAUUAAAUUAAAAAUAUUUAAAAAAAAUAUUGCGGGUUUGGUGGAUAUUCAUGCGGGUAUCCACCGGAUAUAAGGUUAAUACCAAACCCACCCGCAUCCAUGUACGGGUUUUAAUUUAUAAUACUAAACCCGCCCGCAACGGAUAAAAUUACCCACAACGGGCGGGUUUUGGCGGGUGGGUUUGGGCGAGUUUGCGGGUUUGCGAGUACAAUUACCAUCCCUAGUUGGUAAUUUAUGAUUUUGACGUUAAGUUGGUAAAUUAUGAUUUUAGGGGUGUUUUGGUUAUUUUGAAUUCAAGGGCAUUUUAGUAAUUUUAAGAUAUUUGAGGGUAAUUUUAUAAUUUGAGGAAUUAAUGUGUAUUUUGGUGAUUUAUGAUUUAAAUUGAGAUUAUUUGAGGUUAAGUAUGGAAUGUGAUUAUAUCGAGGAAUUUGAGAAUAUUGGAUUUUAUGAUUAUGAUUUAAUUUUAUCUUAUGAGAGUAUUUUUAUUGAUUUUAGGCCGAUGAUAUCUAUACGCAUUUGGUACUCGAGAAUGUCAGAAAGUAAGUAAAUUAAAUUUUCAAACGAAUCACAAUAAACAACGUUAUAUGUUUGACAUGUUUGGAAAGUCUAUUUUGAUAUAUACGGAUAUUGAUUUAUAUGUUCUGCCCAUGUGUUUACAUGAUGUGUUGAUAGGAUGUGUUGUUAUGUGUUAUGUGUGUAUUUAUGGACAUGGGUAUAUGUAUGUGUAGAAUUUCAUUGGCAUGAGCAUGAAAAUGCAUUAUGUUUUCUAUAAAACGAGAAAGUGAAUUUUAGACAACCGAAAUUUGAAGAAAGAAAGAUUGUUUUACAAUUUUGGCUUGGAUGUUUGAAUUCAUUACUGGCUUAGGGGAGGACACUAUGGAUGUUAUAUUAUUGUUAUGAGAUAAGUGGGCGAGGAACGUGUUGGCGAGAAACCCAAAGUGUAUGGAAGUUAUGAAUAUUAAUAGAGUGUCCUACUAAGCAGUAAUUGAAUGAAGGUAGUUCAAGUGAGUGAUUUGAAAGAGAAUUGAAAGUUUGAGAAUGAUAGAAUGAGAUUUCAAUGAAUUGUUUACAAUGUUUUCGAAUAUCAUGGCAUGUCAUCUAUUUGCGUUAUAUGUAUGUAUGUAUGUAUGUAUUUUGGUAUAUGAAAAAUUGGUUUGUUUAUUGAAUUUCAUACUCAUUAUAAUUUAUUAUGAGUCAGUUUUCAUAAAUUAGGAUUGAUUCAUGAUGAAUGACGAGAAGAACAUGAAUUAAGGACGGUAGAUAAUUUGACAUAAAUUUUAAAUUUUUCCGCUGUAAUUUGUGUAAUAUAUUUGUAUUUUGAGGUUUAAAUUUUUAUGAAUUGUAAAAUGAUUAUUAUUAUUAUUAUUAAGUAUAGAUAUUUGAACUCUAGUAAGAUUCGCCCUCCACGGAAUUCGCCCCGUAGAGGUCGGGGCAGGUGGUUACACAUGUUGAUUGCUAGAAGAAGC